rnacentral:rRNA from 1 species
UACAGAGGUCCCGAGCGUUGUUCGGAUUCACUGGGCGUAAAGGGUGCGUAGGUGGCCUAAAAAGUUUGAUGUGAAAGCUCAGGGCUUAACCCUGAAAUGGCAUUGAAUACUGUUGGGCUGGAGGUUUGGAGGGGGGACUGGAAUUCUUGGUGUAGCAGUGAAAUGCGUAGAUAUCAAGAGGAACACCAGUGGCAAAGGCGAGUCCCUGGACAACACCUGACACUGAGGCACGAAAGCUAGGGGAGCAAACAGG